AACAUCUAAGUACCCCGAGGAAAAGAAAUCAACCGAGAUUCCCCCAGUAGCGGCGAGCGAACGGGGAGGAGCCCAGAGCCUGAAUCAGUGUGUGUGUUAGUGGAAGCGUCUGGAAAGGCGCGCGAUACAGGGUGACAGCCCCGUACACAAAAAUGCACAUGCUGUGAGCUCGAUGAGUAGGGCGGGACACGUGGUAUCCUGUCUGAAUAUGGGGGGACCAUCCUCCAAGGCUAAAUACUCCUGACUGACCGAUAGUGAACCAGUACCGUGAGGGAAAGGCGAAAAGAACCCCGGCGAGGGGAGUGAAAAAGAACCUGAAACCGUGUACGUACAAGCAGUGGGAGCCUCUUUAUGGGGUGACUGCGUACCUUUUGUAUAAUGGGUCAGCGACUUAUAUUCUGUAGCAAGGUUAACCGAAUAGGGGAGCCGAAGGGAAACCGAGUCUUAACUGGGCGUUAAGUUGCAGGGUAUAGACCCGAAACCCGGUGAUCUAGCCAUGGGCAGGUUGAAGGUUGGGUAACACUAACUGGAGGACCGAACCGACUAAUGUUGAAAAAUUAGCGGAUGACUUGUGGCUGGGGGUGAAAGGCCAAUCAAACCGGGAGAUAGCUGGUUCUCCCCGAAAGCUAUUUAGGUAGCGCCUCGUGAAUUCAUCUCCGGGGGUAGAGCACUGUUUCGGCAAGGGGGUCAUCCCGACUUACCAACCCGAUGCAAACUGCGAAUACCGGAGAAUGUUAUCACGGGAGACACACGGCGGGUGCUAACGUCCGUCGUGAAGAGGGAAACAACCCAGACCGCCAGCUAAGGUCCCAAAGUCAUGGUUAAGUGGGAAACGAUGUGGGAAGGCCCAGACAGCCAGGAUGUUGGCUUAGAAGCAGCCAUCAUUUAAAGAAAGCGUAAUAGCUCACUGGUCGAGUCGGCCUGCGCGGAAGAUGUAACGGGGCUAAACCAUGCACCGAAGCUGCGGCAGCGACGCUUAUGCGUUGUUGGGUAGGGGAGCGUUCUGUAAGCCUGCGAAGGUGUACUGUGAGGUAUGCUGGAGGUAUCAGAAGUGCGAAUGCUGACAUAAGUAACGAUAAAGCGGGUGAAAAGCCCGCUCGCCGGAAGACCAAGGGUUCCUGUCCAACGUUAAUCGGGGCAGGGUGAGUCGACCCCUAAGGCGAGGCCGAAAGGCGUAGUCGAUGGGAAACAGGUUAAUAUUCCUGUACUUGGUGUUACUGCGAAGGGGGGACGGAGAAGGCUAUGUUGGCCGGGCGACGGUUGUCCCGGUUUAAGCGUGUAGGCUGGUUUUCCAGGCAAAUCCGGAAAAUCAAGGCUGAGGCGUGAUGACGAGGCACUACGGUGCUGAAGCAACAAAUGCCCUGCUUCCAGGAAAAGCCUCUAAGCAUCAGGUAACAUCAAAUCGUACCCCAAACCGACACAGGUGGUCAGGUAGAGAAUACCAAGGCGCUUGAGAGAACUCGGGUGAAGGAACUAGGCAAAAUGGUGCCGUAACUUCGGGAGAAGGCACGCUGAUAUGUAGGUGAAGCGACUUGCUCGUGGAGCUGAAAUCAGUCGAAGAUACCAGCUGGCUGCAACUGUUUAUUAAAAACACAGCACUGUGCAAACACGAAAGUGGACGUAUACGGUGUGACGCCUGCCCGGUGCCGGAAGGUUAAUUGAUGGGGUUAGCGGUAACGCGAAGCUCUUGAUCGAAGCCCCGGUAAACGGCGGCCGUAACUAUAACGGUCCUAAGGUAGCGAAAUUCCUUGUCGGGUAAGUUCCGACCUGCACGAAUGGCGUAAUGAUGGCCAGGCUGUCUCCACCCGAGACUCAGUGAAAUUGAACUCGCUGUGAAGAUGCAGUGUACCCGCGGCAAGACGGAAAGACCCCGUGAACCUUUACUAUAGCUUGACACUGAACAUUGAGCCUUGAUGUGUAGGAUAGGUGGGAGGCUUUGAAGUGUGGACGCCAGUCUGCAUGGAGCCGACCUUGAAAUACCACCCUUUAAUGUUUGAUGUUCUAACGUUGGCCCCUGAUCGGGGUUGCGGACAGUGUCUGGUGGGUAGUUUGACUGGGGCGGUCUCCUCCUAAAGAGUAACGGAGGAGCACGAAGGUUGGCUAAUCCUGGUCGGACAUCAGGAGGUUAGUGCAAUGGCAUAAGCCAGCUUGACUGCGAGCGUGACGGCGCGAGCAGGUGCGAAAGCAGGUCAUAGUGAUCCGGUGGUUCUGAAUGGAAGGGCCAUCGCUCAACGGAUAAAAGGUACUCCGGGGAUAACAGGCUGAUACCGCCCAAGAGUUCAUAUCGACGGCGGUGUUUGGCACCUCGAUGUCGGCUCAUCACAUCCUGGGGCUGAAGUAGGUCCCAAGGGUAUGGCUGUUCGCCAUUUAAAGUGGUACGCGAGCUGGGUUUAGAACGUCGUGAGACAGUUCGGUCCCUAUCUGCCGUGGGCGCUGGAGAACUGAGGGGGGCUGCUCCUAGUACGAGAGGACCGGAGUGGACGCAUCACUGGUGUUCGGGUUGUCAUGCCAAUGGCACUGCCCGGUAGCUAAAUGCGGAAGAGAUAAGUGCUGAAAGCAUCUAAGCACGAAACUUGCCCCGAGAUGAGUUCU
rnacentral:rRNA from 1 species